rnacentral:rRNA from 1 species
AUACGUAGGUGGCGAGCGUUAUCCGGAUUUACUGGGCGUAAAGGAUGCGUAGGUGGAAUUUUAAGUGGGAUGUGAAAUACCCGGGCUCAACCUGGGAACUGCAUUCCAAACUGGAAUUCUAGAGUGCAGGAGAGGAAAGCGGAAUUCCUAGUGUAGCGGUGAAAUGCGUAGAGAUUAGGAAGAACACCAGUGGCGAAGGCGGCUUUCUGGACUGUAACUGACACUGAGGCAUGAAAGCGUGGGGAGAAAACAGGAUUAGAUACCCUGGUAGUCCACGCCGUAAACGAUGGGUACUAGGUGUAGGGGUUUCGAUACCUCUGUGCCGCCGUAAACACAAUAAGUACCCCGCCUGGGGAGUACGGUCGCAAGAUUAAAACUCAAAGGAAUUGACGGGG